GCCGAGGUAGCUCAGUUGGUAGAGCACGCGACUGAAAAUCGCGGUGUCGGCAGUUCAAAUCUGCCCCUCGGCACCA
rnacentral:tRNA from 1 species